rnacentral:rRNA from 1 species
UACGGGGGGGGCAAGCGUUGUUCGGAAUUACUGGGCGUAAAGGGCUCGUAGGUGGCCAGCUAAGUCAUACGUGAAAUCCCCGGGCUCAACCCGGGAACUGCGUCCGAUACUGGAAGGCUUGAAUCCGGGAGAGGGAUGUGGAAUUCCAGGUGUAGCGGUGAAAUGCGCAGAUAAUCAGGAGGAACACCAAUGGCGAAGGCAGCUCGCUGGGACGGUACUGACGCUGAGGCGCGAAAGCAUGGGGAGCGAACAGG